ACUGCAAGACCGAGCCAGCGGCAUGGACGGUUCUGGGUGAUGUGGCACCAAGGCAGGAGGAGUGUGGAAUUUUAGGAAUUGCCAGGAGGCCUCAGAGUCUCUAGGCAGGGCUGGAGGGACCAACAGUGCUGGAGAAGGGGUCAGUGAGGGUCUUAUAAGAGCCUCUGUCCCCCAGCUCUCUACCUCCGACCCAAACUGCAAACCACAGGCAAAAAGAAGUUCCUAAAGCGCCGCGUUUUGCUGAGGCUUGCUCCCGCUCGAAAGUCUUCGGUGGCACCUCACUGCUUAUGAACAAAUGUCCAACUUCCAGUCAGGCCUUCUGGAAACUGAGACCACGGGAGUCGCCACCCCCUCCCUUCCUGUACCGCCCAAGGAUAAUCCCGUGCUCCCAAGAGUGAAAGGACAGAAACCCCCUAAAUGACUGCCACCAGCAAAAUGUACAAAUAAAUUCCAA